rnacentral:rRNA from 1 species
AACGCCAGCGAUCACAGUAUCAAUUCCACGAUGACGGACUGGUCGUCCCUUCUGCCGGACCUUCUCCGUCGCGUCGGCGAGUGCAUCCUGGUCACCAGCGACAUCGAUCACUACAUGGACAUGCGGGCUGUCUGUCACAACUGGCGCUCCGCCCUCGUCGACCCGUGCAGCGACUGCGCCGGCGUCGACCUCCUGUGCUUCCGCCCUCGGCACUGGGUCAUGCUAGACGAGGAGGAGGAGCCCACGGACGGCGCCCGCCUCUUUGUCAACAUCUCGACAGGGCGUUUUCUCCGCCGCCGCGUCCUGGUGCUUCAGGACCACAUCCUCGUCGGCCCUUCCGACGGGCUCCUCAUCGUCGGCGACAGGAAGCCCCAGCAUGCUGUCCGCGUCCUCAACCCCUUCACUGGCUCGCUGCUCCAUUUCAAGGUGAUACUACCUAGUUACCGGGCCAAGGCAGUGGUUGGAGGCGGCGGGCAUGAGCGCCCAACGUCACUCGUCUUCGGGCUCGACUGCUGCUACGAUAACGACGACCCCGUCUGGAGCGCAGAUCCGGCCAGCGACUACGUCCGCAUCACCUACGGAAAUGGCCCGGUCUGUCUCGGAAGCAUGGUCGCCCACGCAGGCCACGUCUACAUGGUCGACUGGGAGUGGGAGCCAUCCGUGUACGCGGUCGUCUGGGACGAUUGCUUCACCUACCGACGAUGGAUAACGCAGAGGCCGGACGCGUUCGUGUCUUCUGAUGAGGGCUCGGAGUCAUGGCCGUGGCUUAGAAAUUACCUAGUGGAGUCUGACGGGGAGCUGCUCCUCGCCCGUCGUCCGCGGCUUCGUAGGCAUAACAUGGAGGUUUUCAGGGUGGACCUUGAGGGACACACGCUCGAGCCCGUCAACCAGAUCGCCGGUGGCCGCCAAGCCCUCUUUGUGGGGAAGAGGUGCCUGUCCGUUGACGCCGACAGGCUCCCCUCUGUCGAUGGAAACUGCAUCUACUAC